rnacentral:tRNA from 1 species
GCCGUUGUAGCUCAGUCUGGUGGAGCAGUCGGCUGUUAACCGACCGGUCGUAGGUUCAAAAAUAUUGACUUGAGGGUCAAUAAUUGAAAAUCCUACCAGCGGCGCCA